CCAUUACUCACACGAUAGCAGCUAUGGCUACAUGUAAGACUCCCAAGAUCCAGGGUAGCUGACUAUCAAAGAUCUGUUAUACUAGAAGGGUUAGAGAAUAUCACUGGACCCUCCCCUGAAACCCCUGCAUCUCCCUACUCUACUCUUGUCUAUAAUUCUAUCCUAGUUUGACAUAGCCUAGUGGUCUCUGGAGCAGAUAGGGAAUAUAGGAAAUAUAAGAAAAGAAGGUAGAGACUCCAUCGAAGUAGCGAUCUGGAAAUCAUGCUGCUGGGUAGGUGUCACUAUGCUUCUAUAAGUAACCAUGGCCAUUCUACAUAAGUACCCUGUAGUUCUGUAUUCUGGACUUGGUUGGAAAUGGACUUUAUUAUUAGAAUCCUAUAAAGAUGGACUAGACAUUUGUUAUGUCUGCCCAAUGACAAAAGUCCCAAAAUAGUAGCAUGUAAUUUGCAGAAGAUAUUUUGAGCUAGACUCUGUUGGAUGAACAUAACUUAGGGACAAUGAUGAGGAAAACAGAUUUGUGGGAUCAACAAGCAGUCUGAGUUGAGACGCAGCUGUGCAGCAGGUCCUGUCAUGGAGAAUGGCAAUGCAGGAAGAAGACAGAUUGGAUGCAAGGAAGUCUGAUGGAUGGGCCUUCAAAGCAGGAAUGAGCUUUAGAGUAAACAAUGAGCCAUUUCCAGAGCUCCAGUUGAAAUGAACAUUGAAUGGUAAGCACCUGGAUGAAGAGGCCGUGUGGUACAGAUUGUCAGCCUUCUGCAACAGCAAAUACCUUCCCAUAUCAUUAGGAUCAUUCACGUAAGUACAAACUGCUUUAUCAGAAUGUAAAGGUUUUAGUCUUGAAACGACUUUCAGCAAGGUGACUGGUGCAUGUAUAUACUGUGUCUCCAAGUGCUAGAUCUGAAAGCAGAGUAGUACAUACAACUCUUUUAUAUGUCAAGUCUAUAUGUUCCAACUUCUAUUAUUUAUUUUAUGGAUUUGAGUAUAUGUUCUAUAGAUAGCGUUAUGCAUAUUUUAAUUUGUUUGCCUCCUGAACUUGGUUCAAUUUUUU
ensembl:lncRNA